rnacentral:rRNA from 1 species
GACGAACGCUGGCGGCGCGCAUAACACAUGCAAGUCGAACGGAGCUUGAAGAGCUUGCUUUUUAAGCUUAGUGGCGAACGGGUGAGUAACGCGUGAGUAACCUGCCCUGGAGUGGGGGACAACAGUUGGAAACGACUGCUAAUACCGCAUAAGCCCACGGAUUCGCAUGGAUCUGUGGGAAAAGGAUUUAUUCGCUCUAGGAUGGACUCGCGUCCAAUUAGCUAGUUGGUGAGGUAACGGCCCACCAAGGCGACGAUUGGUAGCCGGACUGAGAGGUUGAACGGCCACAUUGGGACUGAGACACGGCCCAGACUCCUACGGGAGGCAGCAGUGGGGGAUAUUGCACAAUGGGGGAAACCCUGAUGCAGCGACGCCGCGUGGAGGAAGAAGGUUUUCGGAUUGUAAACUCCUGUCGUUAGGGACGAUA